GCUACGGGAGGCUGCAGUGGGGAAUAUUGCACAAUGGGGGAAACCCUGAUGCAGCGACGCCGCGUGAGUGAAGAAGUAAUUAGUUAUGUAAAGCUCUAUCAGCAGGGAAGAAAAUGCCGGUACCUGAGUUAGAAGCAGCGGCUAACUACGUGCCAGCAGCGGCGGUAAUACGGCGGGGGCAAGCGUUAUACGGAGUUACUGGGGGGAAAGGGAGCGUAGACGGCAGUGCAAGUCUGGAGGGAAAGGCGGGGGCCUAACCCCCGGACUGCUCUGGAAACUGUGCGGCUGGAGUGCAGGAGAGGUAGGUGGAAUGCCUAGGGUAGCGGUGAAAUGCGUAGAUAUUAGGAGGAACACCAGUGGCGAAGGCGGCUUACUGGACUGUAACUGACGUUGAGGCACGAAAGCGUGGGGAGCAAACAGGAUUAGAUACCCGGGUAGUC
rnacentral:rRNA from 1 species